rnacentral:rRNA from 1 species
GUACGCUGGCGGCAGGCCUAACACAUGCAAGUCGAGCGAGACCUUCGGGUCUAGCGGCGGACGGGUUAGUAACGCGUGGGAACGUACCCUUUUCUACGGAAUAGCCUUUGGAAACGAAGAGUAAUACCGUAUACGCCCUUUGGGGGAAAGAUUUAUCGGAGAAGGAUCGGCCCGCGUUAGAUUAGAUAGUUGGUAAGGUAAUAGCUUACCAAGGCUACGAUCAAUAGCUGAUCUGAGAGGAUGAUCAGCCACAUUGGGACUGAGACACGGCCCAAACUCCUACGGGAGGCAGCAGUGGGGAAUCUUGCACAAUGGGGGGAACCCUGAUGCAGCGAUGCCGCGUGAGUGAAGAAGGCCCUUGGGUUGUAAAGCUCUUUCGUCGGGGAAGAAAAUGACUGUACCCGAAUAAGAAGGUCCGGCUAACUUCGUGCCAGCAGCCGCGGUAAUACGAAGGGACCUAGCGUAGUUCGGAAUUACUGGGCUUAAAGAGCUCGUAGGUGGUUAAGAAAGUUGGUGGUGAAAUCCCAAGGCUCAACCUUGGAACUGCCGCCAAAACUUUUUGACUAGAGUAUGAUAGAGGUAAGUGGAAUUUCUAGUGUAGAGGUGAAAUUCGUAGAUAUUAGAAAGAACACCAAUUGCGAAGGCAACUUUCUGGAUCAUUACUGACACUGAGGAGCGAAAGCAUGGGUAGCGAAGAGGAUUAGAUACCCUCGUAGUCCAUGCCGUAAACGAUGUGUGCUAGACGUUGGAAACUUAGUUUUCAGUGUCGCAGC